GGAAGCUGUCUCUUCAGACUUUUCCAGCACCACAUGCCCUUUCAAAGUCUUUGGGUUCCGGGGGGAGUAUGGUCGCAAGGCUGAAACUUAAAGGAAUUGACGGAAGGGCACCACCAGGAGUGGAACCUGCGGCUUAAUUUGACUCAACACGGGAAAACUUACCAGGUCCAGACAUGAGAAGGAUUGACAGAUUGAGAGCUCUUUCUUGAUUUUAUGGGUGGUGGUGCAUGGCCGUUCUUAGUUGGUGGAGUGAUUUGUCUGGUUUAUUCCUUUAACGAACAAGACCUUUGCCUACUAAAUAAAACAUAUUAUAGAAAUAUAGUAUGAGACUUCUUAAAGGGACAUUUCGGGUUUACCGG
rnacentral:rRNA from 1 species